UACGUAGGGAGCGAGCGUUAUCCGGAAUUAUUGGGUGUAAAGGGUGCGUAGACGGGAAAGCAAGUUAGUUGUGAAAUCCCUCGGCUUAACUGAGGAACUGCAACUAAAACUGAUUUUCUUGAGUACUGGAGAGGAAAGUGGAAUUCCUAGUGUAGCGGUGAAAUGCGUAGAUAUUAGGAGGAACACCAGUGGCGAAGGCGACUUUCUGGACAGUAACUGACGUUGAGGCACGAAAGUGCGGGUAUCGAACAGG
rnacentral:rRNA from 1 species